UUCACCUGCUCCUUCCCAGCCAGCUCCCUAAUUACUCCUCAUCUGCUCCACCUGUGCUCCUGCCUUUAUAUACAGCUCUCUACCAGUCAACCAGUGCCAGAUUUUCAAAAGCCUUUGUAUUUCCCCGCUCUGCCUUGCCCACGUCGGACACUUCAUUGGCUUUUGCUUUCUGGACAAACGACCUUGCUUCUGCCUCCUGACCAACCCUCUCUGCCUAAUGUUUGGAUCCGUAUGCCUGAAUAUGCCUCCCCCGUUCAUGACCUCACUUCUGUGCCUUCUUCGCUCAACCACCAACCAGUCUGUCUGUCUCCAGAGGUUCCUGUGGCUAACACUGGUGGUUUCUUGCCAAAUGCCUUCCAGAAAGAUCAAUAAAUCUUUUAAAACUUA